AACGAACGCUGGCGGCAUGCCUAACACAUGCAAGUCGAACGAUUGCCUUCGGGUGAUAGUGGCGCACGGGUGCGUAGCGCGUGGGAAUCUGCCCUUAGGUUCGGAAUAACAGCUGGAAACGGCUGCUAAUACCGGAUGAUAUCGCGAGAUCAAAGAUUUAUCGCCUGAGGAUGAGCCCGCGUUGGAUUAGGUAGUUGGUGGGGUAAAGGCCUACCAAGCCGACGAUCCAUAGCUGGUCUGAGAGGAUGAUCAGCCACACUGGGACUGAGACACGGCCCAGACUCCUACGGGAGGCAGCAGUGGGGAUUAUUGGACAAUGGGCGCAAGCCUGAUCCAGCAAUGCCGCGUGAGUGAUGAAGGCCCUAGGGUUGUAAAGCUCUUUUACCCGGGAAGAUAAUGACUGUACCGGGAGAAUAAGCCCCGGCUAACUCCGUG
rnacentral:rRNA from 1 species